rnacentral:rRNA from 1 species
GAUGAACGCUGGCGGCGUGCCUAAUACAUGCAAGUCGAGCGAACAGACGAUGAGCUUGCUCCUCUGACGUUAGCGGCUGACGGGUGAGUAACACGUGGAUAACCUACCUAUAAGACUUGGAUAACUUCGGGAAACCGGAGCUAAUACCGGAUAAUAUAUUUAACCGCAUGGUUCAAUAGUGAAAGACGGUUUUGCUGUCACUUAUAGAUGUAUCCGCGCCGCAUUAGCUAGUUGGUAAGGUAACGGCUUACCAAGGCAACGAUGCGUAGCCGACCUGAGAGGGUGACCAGCCACACUGGAACUGAGACACGGUCCAGACUCCUACGGGAGGCAGCAGUAGGGAAUAUUCCGCAAUGGGCGAAAGCCUGAAGGAGCAACGCCGCGUGAGUGAUGAAGGUCUUCGGAUCGUAAAACUCUGUUAUUAGGGAAGAAAAAAUGUGUAAGUAACUAUGCACGUCUUGACGGUACCUAAUCAGAAAGCCACGGCUAACUACGUG